rnacentral:rRNA from 1 species
GUGGGGAAUUUUGGACAAUGGGCGCAAGCCUGAUCCAGCAAUGCCGCGUGCAGGAAGAAGGCCUUCGGGUUGUAAACUGCUUUUGUACGGAACGAAACGGUCCUGGCUAAUAUCCGGGGCUAAUGACGGUACCGUAAGAAUAAGCACCGGCUAACUACGUGCCAGCAGCCGCGGUAAUACGUAGGGUGCGAGCGUUAAUCGGAAUUACUGGGCGUAAAGCGUGCGCAGGCGGUGCUGUAAGACAGGCGUGAAAUCCCCGGGCUCAACCUGGGAAUUGCGCUGGUGACUGCAGUGCUGGAGUGCGGCAGAGGGGGAUGGAAUUCCGCGUGUAGCAGUGAAAUGCGUAGAUAUGCGGAGGAACACCGAUGGCGAAGGCAAUCCCCUGGGCCUGCACUGACGCUCAUGCACGAAAGCGUGGGGAGCAAACAGGAUUAGAAACCCCUGUAGUCC